rnacentral:rRNA from 1 species
CAAUAGCGUAUAUUAAAGUUGUUGCAGUUAAAAGCUCGUAAGUUGGAUUUCUGGUACAACGCGCCUGGCCGCUAUCGUGAGUGCCGGUGCGCGUUUGCCAUCCUUCUAGAAAACGUCUCUACUCGGGCAACUGAGCCGGAUUCGCGAUCUAGAUCUUUUACUUUGAAAAAUUAGAGUGUUUAAAGCAGGCUAUUGCCUUGAAUACAUUAGCAUGGAAUAAUAAUCUAGGACUUCGGUUCUAUUUUGUUGGUUUCUAGUACUGAAGUAAUGAUUGAUAGGGAUAGUUGGGGUGGCUAGUAUUGACCGGCCAGAGGUGAAAAUUCUUGGAUUCGGUCAAGACUAACUUAUGCGAAAGCAUUCACCAAGGAUGUCUUCUUUAAUCAAGAACGAAAGUUGGGGGAGGUCGAAGACGAUUAGAUACCA